rnacentral:rRNA from 1 species
GGUUAAGUGACUAAGCGUACACGGUGGAUGCCUAGGCAGUCAGAGGCGAUGAAGGGCGUGCUAAUCUGCGAAAAGCGUCGGUAAGGUGAUAUGAACCGUUACAACCGGCGAUACCCGAAUGGGGAAACCCAGUGUGUUUCGACACACUAUCAUGUCAUGAAUACAUAGUGGCAUGAGGCGAACCGGGGGAACUGAAACAUCUAAGUACCCCGAGGAAAAGAAAUCAACCGAGAUUCCCCCAGUAGCGGCGAGCGAACGGGGAGGAGCCCAGAACCUGAAUCGGCUUGUGUGUUAGUGGAAGCGUCUGGAAAGUCGCGCAGCAAAGGGUGAUAGCCCCGUACACUAAAAUGCACAGGUCGUGAGUUCGAUGAGUAGGGCGGGACACGUGACAUCCUGUCUGAAUAUGGGGACCAUCCUCCAAGGCUAAAUACUCCUGACUGACCGAUAGUGAACCAGUACCGUGAGGGAAAGGCGAAAAGAACCCCGGCGAGGGGAGUGAAAUAGAACCUGAAACCGUGUACGUACAAGCAGUGGGAGCACCUUCGUGGUGUGACUGCGUACCUUUUGUAUAAUGGGUCAGCGACUUAUAUUUUGUAGCAAGGUUAACCGUAUAGGGGAGCCGUAGGGAAACCGAGUCUUAACUGGGCGAAUAGUUGCAAGGUAUAGACCCGAAACCCGGUGAUCUAGCCAUGGGCAGGUUGAAGGUUGGGUAACACUAACUGGAGGACCGAACCGACUAAUGUUGAAAAAUUAGCGGAUGACUUGUGGCUGGGGGUGAAAGGCCAAUCAAACCGGGAGAUAGCUGGUUCUCCCCGAAAGCUAUUUAGGUAGCGCCUCGUGAACUCAUCUUCGGGGGUAGAGCACUGUUUCGGCUAGGGGGCCAUCCCGGCUUACCAAACCGAUGCAAACUCCGAAUACCGAAGAAUGUUAUCACGGGAGACACACGGCGGGUGCUAACGUCCGUCGUGAAGAGGGAAACAACCCAGACCGCCAGCUAAGGUCCCAAAGUCAUGGUUAAGUGGGAAACGAUGUGGGAAGGCAUAGACAGCCAGGAUGUUGGCUUAGAAGCAGCCAUCAUUUAAAGAAAGCGUAAUAGCUCACUGGUCGAGUCGGCCUGCGCGGAAGAUGUAACGGGGCUAAACCAUGCACCGAAGCUGCGGCAGCGACGCUUAGGCGUUGUUGGGUAGGGGAGCGUUCUGUAAGCCGUUGAAGGUGGCCUGUGAGGGUUGCUGGAGGUAUCAGAAGUGCGAAUGCUGACAUAAGUAACGAUAAAGCGGGUGAAAAGCCCGCUCGCCGGAAGACCAAGGGUUCCUGUCCAACGUUAAUCGGGGCAGGGUGAGUCGACCCCUAAGGCGAGGCUGAAAAGCGUAGUCGAUGGGAAACAGGUUAAUAUUCCUGUACUUGGUGUUACUGCGAAGGGGGGACGGAGAAGGCUAGGCUAGCCGGGCGACGGUUGUCCCGGUUUAAGCGUGUAGGGGGUGUGACCUGGUAAAUCCGGUUGCAUAUCAACCCUGAGGCGUGAUGACGAUGCACUACGGUGCAGAAGUAGUUGAUGCCCUGCUUCCAGGAAAAGCCUCUAAGCUCUAGGUAACAUUGAAUCGUACCCCAAACCGACACAGGUGGUCAGGUAGAGAAUACCAAGGCGCUUGAGAGAACUCGGGUGAAGGAACUAGGCAAAAUGGUGCCGUAACUUCGGGAGAAGGCACGCUGGCAUGUAGGUGAAGUCCCUUGCGGAUGGAGCUGAAGCCAGUCGAAGAUACCAGCUGGCUGCAACUGUUUAAUAAAAACACAGCACUGUGCAAACACGAAAGUGGACGUAUACGGUGUGACGCCUGCCCGGUGCUGGAAGGUUAAUUGAUGGGGUCAGCCGCAAGGCGAAGCUCUUGAUCGAAGCCCCAGUAAACGGCGGCCGUAACUAUAACGGUCCUAAGGUAGCGAAAUUCCUUGUCGGGUAAGUUCCGACCUGCACGAAUGGCGUAAUGAUGGCCAGGCUGUCUCCACCCGAGACUCAGUGAAAUUGAACUCGCUGUGAAGAUGCAGUGUACCCGCGGCAAGACGGAAAGACCCCGUGAACCUUUACUAUAGCUUGACACUGAACAUUGAGCCUUGAUGUGUAGGAUAGGUGGGAGGCUUUGAAGCGUGGACGCCAGUCUGCGUGGAGCCAUCCUUGAAAUACCACCCUUUAAUGUUUGAUGUUCUAACUCGGCCCCAUAAUCUGGGGUGAGGACAGUGUCUGGUGGGUAGUUUGACUGGGGCGGUCUCCUCCCAAAGAGUAACGGAGGAGCACGAAGGUUAGCUAAUCACGGUCGGACAUCGUGAGGUUAGUGCAAAGGCAUAAGCUAGCUUGACUGCGAGAGUGACGGCUCGAGCAGGUACGAAAGUAGGUCUUAGUGAUCCGGUGGUUCUGAAUGGAAGGGCCAUCGCUCAACGGAUAAAAGGUACUCCGGGGAUAACAGGCUGAUACCGCCCAAGAGUUCAUAUCGACGGCGGUGUUUGGCACCUCGAUGUCGGCUCAUCACAUCCUGGGGCUGAAGUAGGUCCCAAAGGGUAUGGCUGUUCGCCAUUUAAAGUGGUACGCGAGCUGGGUUUAGAACGUCGUGAGACAGUUCGGUCCCUAUCUGCCGUGGGCGUUGGAAGAUUGAGAGGGGUUGCUCCUAGUACGAGAGGACCGGAGUGAACGCACCACUGGUGUUCGGGUUGUCAUGCCAAUGGCAUUGCCCGGUAGCUAAGUGCGGAAAAGAUAAGCGCUGAAAGCAUCUAAGCGCGAAACUUGCCUCAAGAUGAGUCUUCCCUGGGCCUUUAAGGCCCCUGAAGGAACGUUUAAGACUAAGACGUUGAUAGGCUGGGUGUGUAAGUGCAGCGAUGCAUUGAGCUAACCAGUACUAAUGAUCCGUGAGGCUUAACCUU